UACGAAGGGGGCUAGCGUUGUUCGGAAUCACUGGGCGUAAAGCGCACGUAGGCGGAUUGUUAAGUCAGGGGUGAAAUCCUGGAGCUCAACUCCAGAACUGCCUUUGAUACUGGCGAUCUUGAGUCCGGGAGAGGUGAGUGGAACUGCGAGUGUAGAGGUGAAAUUCGUAGAUAUUAGGAAGAACACCGGUGGCGAAGGCGGCCCACUGGAUCGGUACUGACGCUGAGGUGCGAAAGCGUGGGGAGCAAACAGG
rnacentral:rRNA from 1 species